GCGAAAAUUAACCAGCAAAAAAAAUCGCAAACCAAUCCCGCACAUACGACCGAGGUCUCUUGCCCUCAAGCGACAAACAGUCGCCAGACUCUGUGCCCUUGUUCGCCGCCGCCGCCCUUCGUCCAUUCACCGCCGCCGCUCCAUCACUUCGCCGCCGGCCGAUGGAUUCGCCGGGUCGUCGCUCCUCAGGGCCAGCCCCUCCCGCCGCGCUGGAUCACGUGGCGGCCUAGGGAACCCUAACCAGCCCCCGAUCUUCGCAUCUCUCCCUGAAUCCCUCCUCCUCCACGAGCCGCGCGGUGUGCUUCCCUCCUCCCACACGAUGCUCCUCUCCCUCCCCAAAUCGACAUGGAUCUCGCGCUGCUGGAUCCCCUCCUCUCCCUCCCCAAAUCGACAUGGAUCUCGCGCUGCUGGAUCCCCUCCUCUCCCUCCCUGACUUGCCGUGAAUCUUGUGCUGCGAGAGCUGCUCUAUCCCUUCCCUGGCCGCCAUAGAUCUCGCCAGCCACCAUCGGAGGAAGCCCCACAAACCCAAGUUUGAUGGGCUUGCCAGCGAUGUUGAGGUCCUUGCCAUGGCUCCGAGCCUGGAGAGUAGCGCUGUCCCAGAUUGAGGUGGAGCUCCGGAGGGAGAUGACGCUGUUCAAGACGCUGGCCAUCACUUUCUCCAGGAUGAUGAUCUUCACUGGGAUCACGUCUUUGUACGGUAGCAUCCUCCAGUUAGGAAGGCCUGCCGGCCAGCCUCGUGUGGGGCUGGGUCAUCAUCUCCUUCUUCACCUGGUUAAUGGGUGUCGUCAUGUUGGGGAUUUCUCCUUGCCUUUGUCUGAACCUCUAACUACUGAAGCUGAAAAUGAAGUUCACGAUUGUUUGUAUGGUAACGGUUCAGGUAGCAAAAGUCCUGGUGCUACAUGAAACGUCUAACACUCAGGUUAGCAGGAAAAAAAACAGUGUUUGAGACCACAUGGCAGGUUAAAUGAUGAGCUAAAUAUUCAUCUUACAUGUACUAAACCAUCCUUAUUGAUUGCAAACAUGUAAACUUUGCACUGAUGUUUUUAUACGUAAUGGGGAAAGUGGGAUCCCUUGUCUUCAGGUCAUUAAUUUGUACCUUGAAUUGUUAAAGGAGAUGGGAAUGAAAAACCCAAAAGGUUCUUUAAAUGCAGCUUCUUCAAUACAUUUAUAUUGACAGUUGAUAGAUGGAUCCAGUAGGCCUUGGUAGUGCUAAGCGUGUUUGAUUCCACUAUUGCUAAGCGUGUUUGAAACCACUAUUGCUUGAGUCGUUCUUCCGGUCUCUCAUUGGUACGUGGGGCGUACCCCACGUAACAUUAUGUUUCUCUGAUAAAUUUGCUGAUGUGAAGGUCAGACAAUUCCGAGAAUCAGACCUGCCAAUAUGAGAAGUUAAAUGUAAGAAAUGAGAAUAAGGAAGUAGUUUUCUUCGAUGAAGAAGAUACAAAACCGCUGAAUCCGUUGAUGUCAAGGUGGCUAAUAAACGGUAAAUUGGUAACACGAUAAGUGAUAAUAAUUUUGCCUACUAACACGAGAGCAAAAGGUACUAUUCAUGAUAUUUGUGUGCUUGUGUUUAAUUAGAUCAAUUCUUUGGCCUCCGAGAAGAUGCUAUCCAGGGUGUUUGAUCCAUCUCCCGUCAGACUUAUUUUUGUUGAUCUUGUGCUUGACACCAAUUAUUUCUUCUUCUCAAAAAAAAGGAGGAAGAGGAGACCCCUGGUGGCGCGGACAUCCAACGACCCGGACAUCGUCCUCCCGUGACGUCCUCCUCCAAGCCCGAAUCCAGUGCCUCCUCAAGAAAUGGAGAAGCGCCAUGGUUGGCUGUUGCUUGAGGAAAUGAGGAGAUGCAUAUGCCAGCAAUGUUGUUGGAGGAAGGAACACUUCCAUAUUCUAUAAGGCCGAUGCCAAGGAAGGUGAGGGUCCUGUGGCUGGCUGCUGCUAGGAAUAGCAGGCAGUAGGGAAGUUUCUUUCUGAUUUGAAGUGUGCAGAUUGGGACAGCUCGCUUUUUGUGAGCAACCAUCUGAAUGCUAAAAUGUCAUAAAUGGCUGUGAACAGAUCGGAUAUGAUUCAUACAUCAGGUGAAAUAGUUGUGACCUCAUGUUGCAGUAUCUACCAAAGAAUAUAUGUGAAAUCCAAGGAAUCAUUUCUGACUUCUGAGCGAUUUGUGGUAGGGCUCAAGAUAUGUGGUUUUGGAUUAGGGUAUGACUCAAGAUAUGUGACUUCCAAGGGAACUGCAAACUCAAGAUAUGUGGUCUUGGACUAGCAAGAUUUGCAUCCAGUGACACCCCUACAACAGUUUUCUGGAUGGACCAUGUCACCACCUGAUGGUACCGAGCUCAUGAACUCUGUAAUGUUCUAUCAUUACCAAGUGUUGUUAACAAUUUCCGGAGGCUAACUUAGAGGAAGAUAGAGGAAAGAGCAGGGCAGUUGAGGGGAAGUACAUUUCUCACUGGAGACACUUUUUCAGAUUACUAGACAUAUAGGAAGAAUUAUGAAACUAAAAUGGGAUGUUACUGUUGGCAUUUGAUGACAAAGUGAGGCCAAUAUAGAACAAAAACUAAGCUUUUGGGACUAACCACGGAAUAUUAGUACUAUAUGCUGAUAUUGACAAGCCGCACUAUCUUCUCCGGUGGCAUGGGCAACGUGUAUUAUGUCGAAGUGUGUGGGAUUAUUGAUUUUAUGUCUUUAUUUUUACUAAUAUAUAUUUAUACAAGGACGACAAUCAACAAAAUGUGUAUUUCUCAUUCAACCAGUGUCCUCGUAUGUAAAGACAAGUAAUGCUUCGAGCACAUGAGAAAGAAAACAGUACUUAAGAAUUUUCCUA